CUUCGGACCUCGCGCUAUGAGAUGAGCCUGCGUUAGAUUAGCUAGUUGGUAGGGUAAAGGCCUACCAAGGCGACGAUCUAUAGCUGGUCUGAGAGGACGAUCAGCCACACUGGGACUGAGACACGGCCCAGACUCCUACGGGAGGCAGCAGUGGGGAAUAUUGGACAAUGGGCGCAAGCCUGAUCCAGCAAUACCGCGUGUGUGAAGAAGGCCUUAAGGUUGUAAAGCACUUUCAAUUGGGAGGAAAACCUGCCGGUCAAUACCCGGUAGCUUGACAUUACCUUUAGAAGAAGCACCGGCUAACUCCGUG
rnacentral:rRNA from 1 species